ACUAUAAACCAGUAUCUAGUAGUGGUAUGGUGGAGGAGGUGAUGCGUAGAUGUAAUGUGGUGGAGGAGGGGAAUAGACCGGUGGAGGUGAUGAGUAAACAGGUGGAGGAGGAGACUUAUAUUUGUAAAUGGGUGGUGGCGAGUAAACAAGUGGAGGAGGAGACUUAUAUUUGUAAACCGGUGGUGA